rnacentral:rRNA from 1 species
CGGGACGGGUGAGUAACGCGUGGGUAACCUGCCUCACACUGGGGGACAACAGUUAGAAAUGACUGCUAAUACCGCAUAAGCCCACGGGUCGGCAUCGAUCUGAGGGAAAAGGAGUGAUCCGCUUUGAGAUGGCCUCGCGUCCGAUUAGCUAGUUGGUGAGGUAACGGCCCACCAAGGCGACGAUCGGUAGCCGGACUGAGAGGUUGAACGGCCACAUUGGGACUGAGACACGGCCCAG